rfam:Thermoplasmatales archaeon I-plasma AMDT3_IPLC00004, whole genome shotgun sequence.
GGGCUUGUAGUGUAAUCUGGAUAGCACAGAAGCCUCCGGAGCUUCUAAUUCGGGUUCAAAUCCCGACAAGCCCG